rnacentral:rRNA from 1 species
GGCGAACGCUGGCGGCGCGCCUAACACAUGCAAGUCGAACGAGCGAGAGAGAGCUUGCUUUCUCGAGCGAGUGGCGAACGGGUGAGUAACGCGUGAGGAACCUGCCUCAAAGAGGGGGACAACAGUUGGAAACGACUGCUAAUACCGCAUAAGCCCACGACCCGGCAUCGGGUAGAGGGAAAAGGAGCAAUCCGCUUUGAGAUGGCCUCGCGUCCGAUUAGCUAGUUGGUGAGGUAACGGCCCACCAAGGCGACGAUCGGUAGCCGGACUGAGAGGUUGAACGCACACUCUGGGACUGGGACACGGCCCAGACUCUUACGGGAUGCAGGAGUGGCGAAUAGUGCACAAUGGCGGAAGUCAUGAUGCACCGCGGCCGCGUGGAGGAAGAAGGUCUUCAGAUUGUAAUGUCUUGUUGUUGAUGAAGAUAAUGACGGUACUUAACAAGGAAGCGACGGCUAACUACGUG